UUAAAGAGAAAGCAAAUUUGAGUUUCUAGAGAAUUGUUUGUUGUUCAUUUGUAGGUUACAAGAUGAAAUAAAGAACAAUGUGGGUCCUUGACAUGUGAUAUUUUAAGUGUAGCUCUAAAACUUAAAUUUGUCCACUGUGUUGAUAGUAACUAUUAGGUAACUUGGGAUGCUCACAUAAUUUCGAUUAAUUAUUUUAUUGAUACUGUUUUUUGUUCUCUGGUUUUAAUUUUCCCUUGUCUCUAUACUAUGCUAAUUUUCCCAAGCUUUUGCUUGUCUUGCUAAAGUCAAAAGGGACUGUAAUUUGCAUAACAAAUAGCAUCAGUAAGUCUUCCUGAAUAAAUUGGACUAAUUUUUUGUAUUGCCGAAGGAAAAUUGGUUUAUUUCAAAGCUAUUAAAGAUUUGAUUUUUUUUGUUUGAGCCUUUGAUCUUGAGUUCUUGUUUAUCAUUUUUAUUAUCUUUGACUGAAACAUGAAGAAAAGAGAUAUUGGCUCUUUAUUCCCUUAAUUGUUAUCAUGACUUGUGUGGUAAAGGUGGAUUGAAUAGUAGUGGAGAAUAAUCUAGUUGUGGACCAAACAUGCCCGGAAAGUUAGUUUCUUUUUUUGUGGUGGCUGUUUGAUGCAUAUAGUGAAUGCUUGGGAACCAAACAUUUUCUAUAGUGGAUGAAGCAAUAUGAAAAAAGCUUUACUGCAAUGGACGUUUCUAUAAAUGUUUAAGAAGAACAUUAGGAUUUGUGAGGAUUGUUAGAGCCUUACCACUAUAACCUUUCCCAUAUAAUCCUUGAACCUUUCUCUGAAACUCUUCAUAUAGUCUGAAUAGGCCUGAAUUGGUGUUUCUCCUCUGAGAACAAGCAACGAGUCGUAGCCCAAUUAUAUAUAUUCUGUGUUGCGGCGACCUAAUCUAUCUGUGUAGACAAGGUAGGGAUUUUUGCUGAUCUCUUCAAGCACCCAUGGGGGCAGAGGAAUGCUACAAAUGGAAAAACCAAUAUUGAUGAUCAUCACUAUCACUACUGGAUUACUAUUAUCAGAAAGCAUUGGUCCUCAACUAAUGGCCCAAGUAUCAAGUUGGAUCCCAACAUUUGAAAGGGAGCAAGUUGGUCUUCAACCUUUAAUCCAUUUCGAGGUCGAUCUUACAUGUGAGUUUUCUGAAUCAUCGAAACUAAAUUCCCAUACUCGAUCUGAGUUUUGUGAGGACAAACUUCUCUGUGGCGAUCAUGAAGGUUGAAUUUACCCAUUGCAUUCAAAAGAUAGGAGCAAGUCAAGAAGAAAGUAACGAGAAGGACUUUUUAGAGCUAGCCAACCCAACGGUUUGAAGACAACAAGUUGUAAAUUAUCUUCUUUUAUACAAUAUUUUUAUGUUGUUUAAGAGUGUAAGAUGAUGUUUAUUUGAUGGACAAUAUGUAAAUCAAAAUUUUUCUUCGAUUUAUUACAAUGAUGUGUUUUGACUA